rnacentral:rRNA from 1 species
UACGUAGGGUGCGAGCGUUAAUCGGAAUUACUGGGCGUAAAGCGUGCGCAGGCGGUUCGUCGUGUCUGAUGUGAAAGCCCCGGGCUCAACCUGGGAAUGGCAUUGGAAACUGGUGGACUAGAGUGUGGCAGAGGGGGGUGGAAUUCCGCGUGUAGCAGUGAAAUGCGUAGAGAUGCGGAGGAACACCGAUGGCGAAGGCAGCCCCCUGGGCUAACACUGACGCUCAGGCACGAAAGCGUGGGGAGCAAACAGG